rnacentral:rRNA from 1 species
UACGAAGGGGGCUAGCGUUGUUCGGAAUUACUGGGCGUAAAGCGCACGUAGGCGGACAUUUAAGUCAGGGGUGAAAUCCCGGGGCUCAACCCCGGAACUGCCUUUGAUACUGGGUGUCUGGAGUCCGGAAGAGGUGAGUGGAAUUCCGAGUGUAGAGGUGAAAUUCGUAGAUAUUCGGAAGAACACCAGUGGCGAAGGCGGCUCACUGGACCGGCAUUGACGCUGAGGUGCGAAAGCGUGGGGAGCAAACAGG